CCUUUCGCAGCUUAGUGCUAAAGCAAUGGCGUGUGAAGUCAAAAGCCCGGGUUCGAUUCCCGACGAGGGCG
rnacentral:tRNA from 1 species